rnacentral:rRNA from 1 species
UGGCUCAGGACGAACGCUGGCGGCGCGCCUAACACAUGCAAGUCGAACGAGCGAGAGAGAGCUUGCUUUCUCGAGCGAGUGGCGAACGGGUGAGUAACGCGUGAGGAACCUGCCUCAAAGAGGGGGACAACAGUUGGAAACGACUGCUAAUACCGCAUAAGCCCACGGCUCGGCAUCGAGCAGAGGGAAAAGGAGCAAUCCGCUUUGAGAUGGCCUCGCGUCCGAUUAGCUAGUUGGUGAGGUAACGGCCCACCAAGGCGACGAUCGGUAGCCGGACUGAGAGGUUGAACGGCCACAUUGGGACUGAGACACGGCCCAGACUCCUACGGGAGGCAGCAGUGGGGAAUAUUGCACAAUGGGGGAAACCCUGAUGCAGCGACGCCGCGUGGAGGAAGAAGGUCUUCGGAUUGUAAACUCCUGUUGUUGGGGAAGAUAAUGACGGUACCCAACAAGGAAGUGACGGCUAACUACGUGCCAGCAGCCGCGGUAAAACGUAGGUCACAAGCGUUGUCCGGAAUUACUGGGUGUAAAGGGAGCGCAGGCGGGAAGACAAGUUGGAAGUGAAAUCUAUGGGCUCAACCCAUAAACUGCUUUCAAAACUGUUUUUCUUGAGUAGUGCAGAGGUAGGCGGAAUUCCCGGUGUAGCGGUGGAAUGCGUAGAUAUCGGGAGGAACACCAGUGGCGAAGGCGGCCUACUGGGCACCAACUGACGCUGAGGCUCGAAAGUGUGGGUAGCAAACAGGAUUAGAUACCCUGGUAGUCCACACCGUAAACGAUGAUUACUAGGUGUUGGAGGAUUGACCCCUUCAGUGCCGCAGUUAACACAAUAAGUAAUCCACCUGGGGAGUACGACCGCAAGGUUGAAACUCAAAGGAAUUGACGGGGGCCCGCACAAGCAGUGGAGUAUGUGGUUUAAUUCGACGCAACGCGAAGAACCUUACCAAGUCUUGACAUCCCUUGACAGGCAUAGAAAUAUGUUUUCUCUUCGGAGCAAGGAGACAGGUGGUGCAUGGUUGUCGUCAGCUCGUGUCGUGAGAUGUUGGGUUAAGUCCCGCAACGAGCGCAACCCUUAUGGUCAGUUACUACGCAAGAGGACUCUGGCCAGACUGCCGUUGACAAAACGGAGGAAGGUGGGGAUGACGUCAAAUCAUCAUGCCCUUUAUGACUUGGGCUACACACGUACUACAAUGGCGUUAAACAAAGAGAAGCAAGACCGCGAGGUGGAGCAAAACUCAGAAACAACGUCCCAGUUCGGACUGCAGGCUGCAACUCGCCUGCACGAAGUCGGAAUUGCUAGUAAUCGUGGAUCAGCAUGCCACGGUGAAUACGUUCCCGGGCCUUGCACACACCGCCCGUCA